rnacentral:rRNA from 1 species
UGGGGAAUAUUGGGCAAUGGGCGCAAGCCUGACCCAGCAACGCCGCGUGAGGGAAGAAGGUCUUCGGAUUGUAAACCUCUGUAAUCGGGGACGAAAAAAAUGACGGUACCCGAGAAGUAAGCCCCGGCUAACUACGUGCCAGCAGCCGCGGUAAUACGUAGGGGGCAAGCGUUGUCCGGAAUUACUGGGCGUAAAGGGAGCGUAGGCGGCUGCUUAAGUCAGAUGUGAAAUACCAGGGCUCAACCCUGGGGCUGCAUUUGAAACUGGGCGGCUAGAGUGUAGGAGAGGUAAGUGGAAUUCCUAGUGUAGCGGUGAAAUGCGUAGAUAUUAGGAGGAACACCAGUGGCGAAGGCGACUUACUGGACUAUAACUGACGCUGAGGCUCGAAAGCGUGGGGAGCAAACA